AGACCUCCCAUUGGACAAUCAGCCUGUGUUUGUGUGGCGAAGAGGCGCGCUGACAGAAUGCACGGCUACCUGUGGAAAAGGCUCUCAGUACAGAGAGAUUGUGUGUGUGAAUCGACACACAGACCAGGACGUCCACGAGAGGAGGUGUGACUCUGCAACCAAACCUGCGCCGGAGGAGGAGCCGUGUAACGUUCAUCCCUGUCCACCAUUCUGGGAUAUGGGCGUGUGGUCCGAAUGCAGUGUUUCCUGCGGCUGGGGUGUGCAGCAGCGUCACAUACAGUGCAGGCAGAGUUUUGGGAAUCGCUCAACCAUGGUUCACCCUCAGCGCUGCGCCAGUCUCACCCGCCCCAACGCCACGCAGCCCUGCCACCCGCGCGUCUGCUCACACUGGGAGAUCAGCACCAACUGGA